ACCCGAGAGACCCCCCCCCCCCCCAAUCUCUCUCUUCUCUCUCUCUCUCUCUAGUCGGCCACAAACCCUGCCCUGGUUCUUCCCCAAAUCGCAAGACCCAGAAGCCAAAUUGAGUAAAGAUCGAAUCUUUGAAGAGGGUUGAGAAGGUUUGAGAGGGAAGAUGGAUUCGGAUCAGGGCAAGCUUUUCAUCGGCGGGAUUUCGUGGGAGACGUCGGAGGAUAAGCUGAAGGAGUACUUCAGCAAUUACGGCGACGUUUUGCAGACGGUGGUUAUGAGAGACAAGAUCACUCAAAGACCCAGAGGUUUUGGGUUCGUCGUCUUUGUGGAUCCUGCUGUUCUUGAUAGGGUUCUUCAGGAAAAGCACACCAUCGAUGGCAGGACGGUUGAGGCUAAGAGGGCCCUCUCAAGAGAGGAGCAGCAAACUUCUGUUAGAUCAGGAAAUCCUAAUCCUGGUAGAAAUGCAGGAAGCGGUGGAAAUGUUAGGACCAAGAAGAUAUUUGUUGGUGGGCUGCCUCCCACUCUAACUGAAGAAGAAUUCCGUGAAUAUUUUGAAGCUUAUGGCCAUGUAACAGAUGUAGUUGUAAUGUAUGACCAAAAUACUGGACGACCUCGUGGAUUUGGAUUUAUUUCAUUUGACACUGAAGAUGCAGUUGAUAGGGUUUUGCACAAGACAUUUCAUGAUUUAAGUGGUAAGCAAGUGGAAGUAAAGAGGGCUCUUCCAAAAGAUGCCAAUCCUGGUGGGGGUGGCCGUUCCUUGGGGGGUGGUCAGGGCGGUGGUGGUGCAUCUGGUGGUGGUUACCAAGGCUAUGGGGCAUCUGGUGGCAACCCAAAUGCAUAUGAUGGUCGAAUGGACUCCAACAGGUACAUGCAAUCUCAGAGCACUGGAGGUGGUUUUCCUCCUUAUGGUUCUUCUGGGUAUAGUGCACCCAGUUAUGGGUAUGCUCCUUCUAGUAAUGGUAUUGGUUAUGGUGGCUACGGAGGUUAUGGUGGUACCAAUACUGGAUAUGGUGGUCCAGCUGCUGCUGCCUAUGGAAACCCCAGUGCCCCAAAUGCUGGUUAUGGUGGUGGUCCACCAGGUGCUCCUAGAAGUUCAUGGAGCUCCCAAGCCCCCUCAGGAUAUGGUGGUAUGGGCUACGGGAAUACUGCUCCUUGGGGUGUUCAAAGUGGCAGUGCAGCUACAGGAAGUGGUGGUCCUGGAUCUGCGCCUGCUGGUCAAUCUCCUAGUGCAGCGGCUGGGUAUGGAGCUCAAGGUUAUGGUUAUGGUGGGUACAGUGGAGGUGAUGCAUCCUAUGGAAAUCCAUCUGCGUAUGGUGCAGUUGGAGGGCGUUCUGGGAGUGUCCCAAAUAACAACGUUGGUGGUCCAGGUGGGGAGCAAGGUAGUGGUGGUGGAUACAUCGGAAGUGGCUAUGGCGACUCGAAUGGAAAUGCAGGUUAUGGAAAUUCUGGUUGGAGAGCUGAUCCAUCACAAGCUUCUGGAAAUUAUGGUGGUCAGGCUAAUGGCGCUCACAGUGGGCAAGUUGGCUAUGGAGGGUAUAGCAGUGCUCAGGCACGACAAGCCCAGCAGCAGUAAUUUUGAUGGUUGGCUGUUCAAUUGAAAUGUCUUGUAUCUCUUGAAACAUGAGCAGUAAUGGUCUCUUAUGACCAGCGGCAGCAGCAGGAACAGCUCAAGUUGGACGAAUGCUUUGGGACUGGAGGAGAGGUGCACAAGUUGUAAAGUGAAGUGUCCAUCAUGGCUGAACACCAGCUUCAUAGUCGGCCAUGUUGAUUGGGGGCGUGUUCAGCAUGGAUUGGGAUUUUGGGAAGUUUGUUCAGUUGAAAAUAUGUCAUUCUCCAGCCAAGCCCUGCCAACACUAUUUUGCAGAAUCUUCCAACCUCACGUCAUUCAUAUCCUAAACUUCACCCUGGUUUGUUGUUGCAUGACAGAAUGUGAGAUGAGCAGCCUACGGUAUGUUGACUUGAGCAGUUAAGCCAGUUUCACUUUAAAAUUGAUUGUGUAAGGCUGUGUUUUGAUUCGUAGCAGCAGAACAUGGCUUACUGUUCUGGAAUUUAGAGAAGCAGAAAAGGAUUCUGUUAGAGUAGAUAUAUAUAGAACUUUAGAAUGAAGUGGAAGAACUAACAUUACAUUUUUCUAUAUUUAGUGUCCAAAAUCUUAGAAUGUAGGGUACUGUUUCUUAUGCAGAUCUUUCAAUAAGAAAUAUUACUUAUUUCUUCCUAGCC